rnacentral:rRNA from 2 species
GCGACUCAGGUCAGGCGG